ACCACAUCUCCGUCACAGGCAUCACACAUCACCGACUGUCAUUUUUUGAAACCCUCUCGAAAUCGUCACUCGUGGUCGCGUGCUAUCAGCGAUAUCCCAGACAGCUUGCGCUGCUCAACUCGUCGCGGUUUCAGUUAGACUGAGUCUGUGGUGCCUGUUAUUUGUUGAAGCAGCACAACAUCGUGGUCCAUUCAUCUCGCAUUUCUCCCGUCUGGUGUCUCAAAUUUCGACAUUUACGGACACAAUAGGGAAUGCCUACCUUUACCGUAUUGUCCCAUUAUCAAAAACUCACCCACAGCGCUAUUCUUGCGGUUUUCAUUGAUUGAACGUAGAUUAGAUGUCUGAAAUGGUGAGGAAUGUCUUGUCCUGACAGAAAAUUUUUAAAAUGCCGAAGAUGAUGUUUCUAUUGUUCCUAAAAGUUUUAUCCGUUGUUCAUAUGUUAGAGAUAUUUAAUUGAUACCACUCCGCCCCCACAGCCGAGUCCACCCCCACCUACCCUAGCCCGAGAACAUCGAGUGCAGGCCAAAGACUCCCAGCUAAGGUUAAGGAAGUGGAAGAAGCGUGAACCUUGGAAACCUCUGUAGAAACUUGGCAAUCAAUUG